GUUGCCAGCGAUUAGGUCGGGAACUCAAAGGAGACUGCCAGUGAUAAACUGGAGGAAGGUGGGGAUGACGUCAAGUCAUCAUGGCCCUUACGACCAGGGCUACACACGUGCUACAAUGGCGCAUACAAAGAGAAGCGACCUCGCGAGAGCAAGCGGACCUCAUAAAGUGCGUCGUAGUCCGGAUUGGAGUCUGCAACUCGACUCCAUGAAGUCGGAAUCGCUAGUAAUCGUGGAUCAGAAUGCCACGGUGAAUACGUUCCCGGGCCUUGUACACACCGCCCGUCACACCAUGGGAGUGGGUUGCAAAAGAAGUAGGUAGCUUAACCUUCGGGAGGGCGCUUACCACUUUGUGAUUCAUGACUGGGGUGAAGUCGUAACAAGGUAACCGUAGGGGAACCUGC
rnacentral:rRNA from 7 species